rnacentral:rRNA from 1 species
CAGCAGCCGCGGUAAUACGGAGGAUCCAAGCGUUAUCCGGAAUCAUUGGGUUUAAAGGGUCCGUAGGCGGUCUUGUAAGUCAGUGGUGAAAGCCCAUCGCUCAACGGUGGAACGGCCAUUGAUACUGCAGGACUUGAAUUAUUGGGAAGUAACUAGAAUAUGUAGUGUAGCGGUGAAAUGCUUAGAGAUUACAUGGAAUACCAAUUGCGAAGGCAGGUUACUACCAAUUGAUUGACGCUGAUGGACGAAAGCGUGGGUAGCGAACAGGAUUAGAGACCCGCGUAGUCCCUGUCUCUUAUAC